rnacentral:rRNA from 1 species
GAUUAGAUACCCUGGUAGUCCACGCCGUAAACGAUGUCGACUUGGAGGUUGUUCCCUUGAGGAGUGGCUUCCGGAGCUAACGCGUUAAGUCGACCGCCUGGGGAGUACGGCCGCAAGGUUAAAACUCAAAUGAAUUGACGGGGGCCCGCACAAGCGGUGGAGCAUGUGGUUUAAUUCGAUGCAGCGCGAAGAACCUUACCUACUCUUGACAUCCACGGAAUUCGGCAGAGAUGCCUUAGUGCCUUCGGGAACCGUGAGACAGGUGCUGCAUGGCUGUCGUCAGCUCGUGUUGUGAAAUGUUGGGUUAAGUCCCGCAACGAGCGCAACCCUUAUCCUUUGUUGCCAGCGAUUCGGUCGGGAACUCAAAGGAGACUGCCGGUGAUAAACCGGAGGAAGGUGGGGAUGACGUCAAGUCAUCAUGGCCCUUACGAGUAGGGCUACACACGUGCUACAAUGGCGCAUACAAAGAGAAGCGACCUCGCGAGAGCAAGCGGACCUCAUAAAGUGCGUCGUAGUCCGGAUCGGAGUCUGCAACUCGACUCCGUGAAGUCGGAAUCGCUAGUAAUCGUGGAUCAGAAUGCCACGGUGAAUACGUUCCCGGGCCUUGUACACACCGCCCGUCACACCAUGGGAGUGGGUUGCAAAAGAAGUAGGUAGCUUAACCUUCGGGAGGGCGCUUACCACUUUGUGAUUCAUGACUGGGGUGAAGUCGUAACAAGG